rnacentral:lncRNA from 1 species
GGAACCAAAGUAAGAGUUUAAAGUGCAACAGAAGAGAGUCUGCUGAACUUUAGACAUGAGGGAUCCAGGGAGGAAGGUGCGUAAAUACAUCUUGAAGCUUUCUCUAGAGGUUUUCUCGUACAGAGCCUGGCCCAACUAGAGAAUCUGUGCAAACAGCUGUAUGAAACCACAGACACAACCACUCGACUCCAGGCAGAGAAAGCCUUGGUUGAAUUUACCAACAGCCCUGAUUGCCUGAGCAAGUGCCAGCUACUCCUCGAAAGAGGAAGUUCCUCUUACUCCCAGUUACUGGCAGCUACAUGCCUUACCAAGCUUGUAUCACGCACAAACAACCCCCUACCAUUGGAACAGCGAAUAGAUAUUCGGAACUAUGUGCUCAACUACCUUGCCACUCGGCCGAAGUUGGCUACUUUCGUGACACAAGCACUUAUUCAGUUAUAUGCCAGAAUCACAAAACUGGGCUGGUUUGACUGUCAGAAGGAUGACUAUGUCUUCAGAAAUGCAAUCACAGACGUCACAAGGUUUUUACAGGAUAGUGUUGAAUACUGCAUCAUUGGUGUCACAAUUUUAUCUCAGCUAACCAAUGAAAUUAAUCAAGCAGACACCACCCAUCCUUUAACCAAGCACAGAAAAAUAGCCUCUUCUUUUCGCGAUUCAUCAUUAUUUGAUAUCUUCACACUUUCCUGCAAUUUACUAAAACAGGCUUCAGGAAAGAAUCUAAACUUGAAUGAUGAAAGUCAGCAUGGCUUGCUCAUGCAACUGCUCAAGCUCACUCAUAACUGCCUCAACUUUGACUUCAUCGGCACUUCCACUGAUGAGUCCUCAGACGACCUGUGUACAGUGCAGAUUCCCACCAGCUGGAGAUCAGCCUUCUUAGAUUCUUCAACCUUGCAGCUGUUUUUUGACCUGUAUCAUUCCAUCCCUCCUUCAUUUUCACCUCUGGU